AACUUGGAAUAAUCAAUAACUAACCAAUAACUAACGCCUUGAGUGUUGGGUGCCCCGGAGGCCCCUAUACCAGAGACAGCGAGCAAGGAAAACGUUCAUCUAUUCUUCUUAUCAGAAAUCAUCUACCACUGGCAGCUUCAGGAACAAUCAGUUACCCUGCAAAUUUUAAGUAUGGACUUUGCUGUGAGGAAAUCAAGUUAGUGCCUGGUGUUGAGGCAUGUAAAAAUCAGUUGGUGUGUUUUUCUUAACUGAAAAUGCAAAGCACGAAGCUAAUUCGUUGGGCCACAUCCAGGGAGCUAACUGAGCCUGGGAUUUUUGGCAACAGUUGCAGAUGGCUUUCUGUGCAGGAGCUUAGAAAGAGAGUUUUGCUCCUGGGCUGCUGCAAGAGAAGACCAUUUACAUGGACAUCUAAGGACCAUCUCUCUCAAAGGACAUUGUGUUUCAGAUGCGGUGGCAAACAAGACAGGAUUGCCUUGUGGCCGUCUGGUAAUAAGGAGAGGAAAUGCUAGAAAUGUGGAAUCCUACUCCCAUAAAAUGUUCCGCCCAGUUUUAUAAAUCCAGGAAGCUUGGCUACGUCAAGUAAGCUUUGGAGAAGCACCAGUGCUUUGAAUGCCUAAAGUGAACCCAGAGUCCAGACUGUGGAGCAACUUGAGUCGCUUCUGGAAUGAGAGAAUUGGCCGUCUGCAAGGACAUUGCCCAGGGGAUGCCCAGAUGUUUUGAUGUUUUUACCAUCCUUGUGGGAGGCUUCUCUCAUGUCCCCGCAUGGAGCUGGAGCUGAUAGAGGGAGCUCAUCCGCACUCUCCCCGGGUGGGAUUCGAACCUGGCAGCCUUCAGGUCAGCAACCCAACCUUCAAGUCACUUAGUCUACUACACCAUCUGGGGGCUCCAGAACUGGGGCAGCUGCUUUCCUGAAGAGAGGUGUGAUAUUGAAGGUACUCAAGUGAGUAUGUAUCCAUUAUCUACAUUAAGAGGAUUCUAGCUGGACAGCAGGCUAAUGUAAUAAAACUUUUAGUCUUUGGAUUCUUAUCUGCAGUCUCAAAUAUGAUUUAUGACUGAGCCAAUGUAUGGAAAAACUACUUCAAUGCCAUCAUUAUCUACUUUUAUGUGGUCUGUAGUCAUUAUUUUUGUUUUCUUAAUGUUCAAAUAUAAUGCUGCCUUUGCACUUUCCUUUCAAUAAUUCUUCCAAGUCCUUGCUAUUGGCUAUUUUCUGGUAAUUAUAUGAUGCCAUCUGCAUAUCUUAAAUAGUUGAUGCCUGUUCUCCAAUUUUCAUAUCUCCAAGUCAAAUCCAGGUCUUCAUGUGAUAUAUUCAGCAUACAAGUUAAACAAGUAAGAGUUUGCCUGAUUCCUUGCCAAUUGGAAACUAUUCUUUUUCUCAAUUUUCUUUUGUGACAGUAGCUUCUUACACUGAGUGUAGGUUAUAAAUUAGGAUAAUCAAAUGUUGUGGUGCAUACAUUUUUAAAGAGCAAUACAUAGUUUUUCAUGCUUUACUUAAUCAAAGGCCUUGUAAUUCUGUAAAGCACAGGAUAACUUUCUUCUGAAAUUAUCUGAUGUAAUCAAUUCACCAGAGUAUGUUUUCAAUAUGAUCCCUUGUGCCUCUGAACCCAGCCUGGACAUCUGGCAUUUGUCACUCAGUGAUCAGUGAAUGCUAAAAAGUCUUUGGUGUAAAAUUUUGGGCUUCACUUUACUUGCAUAGGAGAUUAAUGUAAUGGCCCAGUGAUUAUUGCAAUCCCUGGUGUCCUCUUUCUUAGAGACUGGAAUGUUUAUCAGCCAUUUCCUAUUUGUGGGCCAUUCAUCUGCUGAUAGAUCUGUUGACAGAUUUUGUUGACAGACUGGAUUCUGCCCCUGUUGUCUGAAGCAGCUGUAUUGCUAUGUCAUCUAUUCCUGGUUAUUUUAAAAUUAAUUACCCACUUCUUCCUAUGGCUUCUGGCAGAGUAUUUCUCCCAAGUGUUCUGAGAACAGUUUCACUUCACUUUCUAAAAUUGUAGGUUUAUCUUCAAAUGGUUCUUCGUUGAAUGAAUCUGUAAUCUUUUAAAUAUAAUUCUUAAGUGUAUUUUUAUCAUCUUUUUAUUUCUUCUUUAUCAUGCAGUGUUUUUCCUUGCUAGUCCAAUGCCAUCCCCACAUUUGGUUUAAACUUUCAUUUUGGUCUUGUGGAAGUUGUUUUUCCUUUGUUGUCAACUUCUAUUUCUGUGCAUUGAUUGUUGUAGAAGUUAUCUUUGCCUCUGCACACAAGUCCCUGAACAAUUGCAUUCAGAGUUUUGACCCUAUUUCUCGGCCCUUUUACUUUUGCUUCUCUUAGGUCCUUAAUUGCCUGAACGGUUUCAUCUGUCGCUCAGUAAGGCUUUUCUUUCUUAAUGGCUGCAGAUAGUGCCUUUUUUUUUUGGAUUUUGCAUUAUUCCAUUUGGUUCAGAGUUCUUCUGGCUCUUGGUACAUCAGAUUUACUACGGUAAAUACGAGUAUAUUUUUCAUCUUAUCUAAAAAUUGGGUUAUUCUUCAGGUUUUAUUUUAGCAUGAUGACAGGUUUAUUGUUAUUUGUCAAAUUUUUGCUUUACUUUAAUAUUUGUUAUUGUCUGCGCCACAAUCUGCUCCUUGUCUUGUUUUCCAGAAGGAUGUCAUUUCUCCAUCUUUUGCUUCUGAUUAUGUGGUUUUAUCUGAUUUCCAUAUUGACUAUUAGAUGAUGUCUAUGUAGAUAAUUAUCCAUUUGGUUGCUUGAAGAAUGUGUUUUCUGUGAACAAACUACUGGUUUUGCAAAAUUCGGUCCCUUGUUCUCAUGCUUCAUUUUUUUAAUCAUAGGCCAAAUUCUCAUAUGUUUUUUACUGCUCUGUUUCCUACUUUUGUCACCCAAUUGCCUAUAAUUAUCAAUGUGUCCCAUUUAGUGUGUGACUAAUUUCCUUCUCAACUCCAGCGUGUAAUCUUUCAGUUUUUUUUUCUUUUCUGAUUCUGAUUACAUUGUUGGGUUUCCCUGUGUCUUAAUGAUAAUUAUUUGGCCAGACUUUGCAUUAUAUCCUUUGACUACUUCUGCUACAUCUUUCCUUACUAUUAAUUCCAUCCAAUUUCUUCUUCACCUUUAAUUUUCUGAAUAAAGCACUGACCCAAAAUGUCCCCUUUCUCUCCACUUUUACUCCCUCACCACAGGUAUGCAGGAUUUAUACAUUCUCCUCCUUGUUUAACAAUGUCUAGCUCCCUGAUUCAUACUUCUCAUAUUCCAUGUGCCUAUAACAUGUGUUGUGUACGUAGUAUUGGACAUUUCUUUCACUUCUAAGCAGAUUAGCAAAAUUAAUGUCCUUUUGGCUUGGGUACAGUGGCAUCAUUAGCCACAGUCUAUUUAAACUUAUACUCUGCCCUUCACUAGUAGUUUGUAGUGUGCUUUUGAUUGAGAUUCUUUGCCAGGGUCACCGCCUUAUGGUUUUCGCCCAGAAGCUGUUUGGCCCAUUUAGCUUGUCUGACACAGACACACCUACAACCACUAGUAGUGUUACCACCAGCAUAACCUGUUGCCUCACAGGAGCACACAAUCCCAUCACCAUGGAAAGGUGGUGCCAUGAUGAGUAGUAACUACCAAUUUUCAGUCCUUGAGUAUCAUAUUUGUCCAUAUAAACUUUAUAUUAAUUUCUCUCACAGAACUGUUAUUCAGUAUUAUUCAGCUGUGAAGGAAUGGCAGCUGAGUUGCUGCUAUGCCAUCGCAGCUACUCAGCUACUCAUUAUCUUCAACACUGCUUCAACACCACAAACCUUUUUACCACAUUGCAAUAUAUUCUAUAUCUAACAGCAAUGUAUAUCUCUUCCAUUUUUUCUCAACACAAAUAACCUAUUGCUUAUACAGAAGCUAGAUGGCAGUGCUAGCUCUAAGACUUCCAUUUAAAUUUUGUUUUAAUCUCUGUUUGGAGAGCAUUCCUACUGAUUUUUCCAGUUAUUCCUUUUGCCCAAAGCUAUAGCUUUGGAGAGAAAUUAAGACCAUGAGUUUGAGAUUAUCAGAAAACUCAAGGAAAUUUGUUUUCUUAUCAGUUCAUCGGUGAUGCAAGAAGCAUUCUCAUUGAAAAGGCAUAUUGGAAGACUAACAUUCUUUCUUUCUUUCUAACAGAUCCAAACAAUUCCUUUUUUGAUAAAUUGUGAAUAAUAAAAAGCACAUCAAAAUAAUGUAUAUGUAUAAUGUAUAUUGUUAUUAUACGCUAACAAUGUUCACCUUCCUAGGGGUAGAUUUUUCUCACUUCUUGUUGUCUCAUCCCCUGUUCUUAACUAUGAGUUGUUUGCAAGUUGGAUGUUUGUAUCUUGGCAUGUUUUCAACUGAAAUAAAAUAUAAUAACGAAUGGGUUUUCAGGAAGUACCCAUCUCUUCAUCAUGUUCAGCUAUAAAAUUGAACUAGAGUUUACCUACCCCUGAGCUGUAUGAACAAAGUAAAUCACAGCAGAUUGAGUACAUACAGGUCUUCAUAUCUCAGGUGGUGAACUUGCUGUAUACUCAUCCCUAGUUUAGUCAGUUAUUCCACUACACAUUGACAGUCUGUUUGAGAAAUAACUGGUUCAUAGAGACCAGCAUGUCCAAAAUUCUGAUAAGCUGAUUCUUGCAAAAAAUCAAAGUAUGUUCCAGUUGGUGCCACCAGAUUGUUUGGCCCUUAUGAAGCCACUUUCCUAUCUGCUUCCUGGAGCAGUGUUUCAAAUAGAAAAAGCAGGCUGGUCUUUUUAAAAGGUGAAGAAUAAAAGUUUCAUCGAAUACAGGAGCUCAGAUUUGACCGCCAAGAAAUCUAAAGCAUGGAGGAAGGAGCAAACAAAAUCUGCAUUUGAUUCAAAUCAAGUAUAUAUAUACUAUGCUCUUGUAAUUUACUGAAGGCAGUCAUGUUUUCAAGAGCAACUGCCUGUUUGGAACUGACCUCUGUUUGAAGGGUAGUCAUAGCCAACUCUAGUGUAACAAAGAACCAUAAAAAGGAGCUUGAGGUUUUACACCAAUAUCUAGCACUUGAACAGCAUCAGUGUGCCUACCACAUGAGUGACCUGAUCACUGUGGUUAAAUUAUUGAACUAGAAAUCAGCAUAAAUAAUUGUGCUAAUUACUGUCCUCUUUUGUCUCUCUUUUUGAAGAUUUUAUUUUUCUAUAGAUGAAACAAAAACAACUUUUGCCUAAAGCACUUUGUGGAUAUUCUGUUAAGAUUUGGUUUGAUUAGCCAGAUUCCUCACUGGAGAGACGAAUAGGGAACAUACAACCCCCUGUUACGCCAGCUCCACUGGCUGCUAGUCUGCUACUCAGCACAAUUCAAAGUGCUGGCUUUAACCUAUAAAGCCUUAAAUGUUCUGGUCCAACUUACCUGUCCAAAUGUAUCUCCCUCCAUGAGCCAGCUAGAUGCCCUGCUCUUCGCAAGCGCAGUCGGUGGGGAUGAGAAACAGGGCCUUCUCAGUCGUGGCCCCUUGGCUUUGAAACUCUCUCCCCAAUGACAUUAGAUUGGCUCCCUCUUUCCAUGUCUUUAGAAAAACAUUAAGACCUGACUCUGGGAUCAGACAUUCAGGAAUAGUGCAACGUCAGAAUUGAGAUAUAGCAACAUGAAGGAUGACCACAAUUUUAAGUAUAUGGUUUUAACAGUUUUUGACAGUCUGUGUAUUCAUAUGUUUUGUAAGCUGCUCUGAGUCCCCCUCAAGGUGAGGAGCAAGGUAUAAAUAUAGGAAAUAAAUAAAUAAACAGCUUAAUGCAAGAUGCCAAGUCAAAAGCCUAGGUAGGAUUUCCAAGGUAAUAAUAGCAUAUGAGUAGUUGUUGCAUAAGCAAUUAUACAAAAAUAAAAAUAAUACAAUAAUAAAAAUAAAAAAUGUUGCCUGUUCAGUUAAUUUCUCCAUGCUGCAAACAUUAUCAUUUCUCAAGACAGACUGUUUUAGAUUCUCCCGCCCCCUUUUAAAGAGUGUAUCAUCUGGACUACACACAUCUCUUAAGAAAAGCAAUCAAUAGACCAGCCCUCCCAGCUGAGCAUAUGUUAUUUAUUUAUUAUAUUUGUGUUCCCAGCCCUCCUUUCUCCAAGAAGUUCAGGGUGCCAUUUGAGCCUGACAAUGACACUGUUCUGCUGAAAAGAGGGAGAGAGACAAAGAGAGAGAGAAAGAGAGAGACUGACUUGCUCAAGGCCACCCACUGAGCUUCUUAGUUGGGCUUAUUACGUUUGAACUCAGCAUUCUAGUUACUGCGCCAUACUUGCGAGAUAUGCAAUUUACAAUUAAUACGUUCACAAACAAAACAGAACAUGGAACUUCGAAAAGUUAAAAAUAUGCAACCCUCCCACCAAAGAACAAUACGUCCAUCACGAAGAAUGCAUACCCUGUAUUCAGAAUGAUGUUUUCCAUUUUUACAUCUCCCAUCCCUCACCUCCUCCCCCUUUCUCACCCAGUUUGAACCCAAUGGAGCAGAACAUCCCUUCCUGAACACUUCAGGAGCAAAAACAAAUGGGUCAACUUAAAAACUCAGAAAGAAAGAUGGUUAUUCAGCUUUGCCGACCUCUCAAGAAAAGUCAGCGGUGCAGCUAGUUGCACAUUGCAGAACUCUGGAGCUCAAGCGUGAAAUAGCACCCUCCAAUUGCCAAGCCUCAUUUGCUUUUCUCUCUGGUUUCAAGCAAGGGCUUCUGUGAGUUCCCAGACACUCUAGUGCUUCAUCGUUUUUUUUUUUAAAAAAAAUGCAUUUGCACACAUCUAGGUUGAUAUACAAUCCAUUUAAUACUAGUGUGGUUCAUCGAAUCCUUUUUACUACUGUACUUGCUGAAAUUAUUGGGGUUAGAUUGCUGCCAGUUUAUACUUCAUCUUAAACAGGUUCUGGUUCCUAUGGAUUUGCUUUGCAAAACUUCCAUUAUGUAAUGCUGAUCAUGUGGAAUUAUCUGCUUGAGUUCAGUUAUUGCUCACUGAUCAGCAUUUCUCCCCAUACCCUUCAUAGGUGGCCUCUUGUUCUUAUGCACCAUGGUAAUCCCAUUCUUUGUUCCCACAUAGUUCUCUAUUUUUAUUUGGUAUGAAAGUCAGCAUGAUGUAGUGAUUUGCGUGUUGGAUUAGGAUUCUGACAGAAUAGGGUUCAAAUCCCUGCUUAUCCAUGGCAACUCAAUGUCUCAGCCAAAGAGAAAGGAAAUGACAAAACUCUUCUGAAUAAAUCUUGCCAAACCCCCCCUCUAUGACAGGAUUACCAUAAGUCAAAGUUCACUUGAAGGCACAUAACGAUAGCAACAACACCUUUUAAAGAGUGAGUACAUAGACCAUAUGUCCUAUCUGUUCAAUGUUCUGAAUUAAAUUCUAUCACAAUAGGGCUGGAAACCAAAGUGUUCAUUUCUGUUGGCUUUGAAGAUUGCUAUUCUUUUCACUAGUCUGCUCUUCUGCUCAAACAAAAUUUGAUUUUCAGAUGUCAUCACUUAGCAAUGAUGUCUUCAUCCUGUGAAAAGAUUAACUUGCCAAUUUUUGGGCUCAUACUGCUGGUUCAAUGUAUAGUACAAUUAAAAACAUCAAAACCCCCUCAAUUAGAGGUAAAGACAGUAAUAAUUUAAGACUGUUUCUUCCCAUAUCUUGCCUGCUAAUAAGGAAAUUACUUUCCAUACACUCCGUUUCUGAAGGCAAUGUAUUUAGUUUUCUUUGACAAGUAGUGCUGCUUCCUCAUUAAGCUACAGCUCCCAUGAUUACAGAACAUUGAACCAUGGCAGAUAAAAUUGUUCAUUGAUUCUACAGUGUAUAUGCAGCCUAUGCAAUAAAAACAUAUACAAUACACACUUCAUUGGAAUGGAAACAUUAGUUAGACCAGUGAUUCUCAAUCUGGAGUCCCCAGAUGUUUUUGGCCUACAACCCGGAGAAAUCCCAGCCAGUUUACUAGCUGUUAGGAUUUCUGGAAGUUGAAGGCCAAAAGCAUCUGGGGACCCCAGGCUGAGAAGCACCAAGUUAGAGACUUAGCCCAGCAAAGUGUAUUGAAUCUAUAACCAUGGGUGACGGAUAGAUCCCAUAUUCCCAUCCUUCCUGUUGGGGGAAAUCAGCAGGAUGGCAACAAAGCACAAAGUACUUGGGUGUCUUCCACUGGGUGUCUUUCAAUGCCACUUGGGAGUGAAGCAAGAACACCUCCGAAAUGGGCAUCCCCUUGAGUACUUUCAACCUGACAAUCCCAUUAGGAAAUAUUCAGUUUGGGACAAAGAUGUACAUACCAUCUUGCCCUCCAAACAGUUCUAGUCCAGUGUUAAAUCUGCUAAUCCUGCAGUUGUGACAAUGCAAUAAAACAGAGAAUAAUACUGACUUCAAGGAAUGUAAAAGAGCAAAUGAACCUGUAUACAAUAGCUCAAAAGCAAGUGAGGAAGGGAGGGUGCUGAAAGCCACCUCUGAAAGACUGACUGGUAGUGUGGACACUGGACAGCCUCCUCUUUAUAUUCCCCUGUGGAUUCUCUUGGCUUGUCUGCCCAAGGGAUUGUUUGCUCACUGAUCGGAGGCCUCACCAGAAAGUGCUAUGAAGAUUCCUGAGAAAAAGGAUCCAAAAUGGUACCAUACCACCCUCUUCCUACAACAGGCAAAUGGGGAUCCAGGUGAGUCUGGGAUUGAUUCUUGUUAUAGAACAUCUUAAGACAAUUGUAUGAUAAAAUGCAAAAUGUAUUUUAUUAGAUCUCAAUGAUCACAUACAGAAAGUAGCCACUGGAAAAUAACUUUUCUGCAACUUCAUGCAUUUGCCAAAAUGUAGUCUUCAGCUGGAACCCUCCUCCAGAGAGCAGCGGUGCAUGAAUCAAGCAUUUUGUCCCAUUUGGUUUCAGCAGUUCAGGAGCUCUUGUCCACUAUGCUGUCCACAGAGAGCUCCUUAGAUAUUUUUUCACAUUGGUGAAUUUUGCAAAGAAAAUAAUACAGAGAAGACAUGAUAAACAAAGCAACAUAUAUGUGUGUGUGUGUGUUUUUCAUCCCUUCCUUUUCACAUCAACGUCCUCCUCAUCCAUUACUUGUGAACAUAAAACAAUAUAACCUACAGGGAUAUAUGUAAAUAUCUUGCUUUUGAGAGUACAUUCUUACCUAGCCAGCAAUUAAAUUAAGUCAAUGAAAUUUGACAUCAGAAAUGUGAUACCUCUUUCAGAUUAGGGAAAAUAAUCUGUGUGGGAUUUCAUUGCCAUCCCUAGCAAGAAGGCAUGGAGACGUUACGGUGAAAUUCACAUGGUUUUAAAAUGGACAGUUCUGCUAAACAAGACAUGGGCAAACUUGGGCCCUCCAGGUAUUUUGGACUUCCACAAUUCCUAACAGCCUAUCGGCUGUUAGGAAUUGUGGGCGUUGAAGUCCAAAACACCUGGAGGGCCUAAGUUUGCCCAGGCCUCUGAUAAACUAUUGAUAGUUUCCCUUGAGAGAAAAGCAUUAUUUCAUCUCACUUUUUAAUUUUUCCCCUUUUCUUUCAUCACUACUCUGGUAGGAACAUAAAGUUCUACCUUUGCGCAUGCAGAUUAAUUUUUUACUGUUGUAGUGUAAUAGCACGUUUGUAUUAACUCUAUAAAAAUAGAAAAAGAGGGGGAAAAAUGCCCUUCAGACCAGAGAAUCACCAACAAAUCAUGCAUCAGUUGUAAGAAUUCACUGAAAGACCCAGCUCCAAGAAAACACUACAAACCUACUUCCCCCUCGAAGAAUGGAGUGAGUGAAUAUGGAGGAAACAACAAGGUGAUCCAUUGUAAGGUGUCUCUAUACCAGUCUGUAAGAGUAAUAGAGUGUAUAAUUUGAGCCUACAAAUGGGGACACUUGUGGCCUCCCAUGUUGCAACUCAGUGCUACAAUCAGUAAGGAUUUGCAAGGUCUUCUUUUCCCUGGAAACAUUGCAAAAUUAGGGUAUUCAACAGCACUCUUCUUUAAGACAGUCAAGAGGGGAUAGAUUUUACAAUGCAACCAGCUGAAAUACAAACAACAACAAAAAGGAAUAGAAAUUCAUUUACCUACUUUUCAACCGAAAUGGGAAACAACCAUGUAACCUCUUUUGUGUGUAAAGUACUUUAAUUUGGAAAUUUUAAGGAUUUACUGCUGUCCGCUAUGGAAAAGAAAACAAUACAAUUCACGAUGUUAAAGUGCCAUGGAAUGCUUAUUUCUCACACAUGUGGGUCAGGGUUUGUGUUGAGUAAGUUUUUACCAUAUUAGUUAAUCACUGGGUUAUGCAAGGAAUUUCUGCUUCCUAACCAAAACAAUUCAGGGAUUCACUUAAGCCGCACCAUAAACUUGUUAUGACGUCCCUCGGAGCGGAGAGGGAUACACACAGUCUUUGUCUGUUAAUUACUCCUGUCUCUCAUUUGGGAUUUUUUGUAAUGUUAUUGGCAAUGUGGCUGAAGCUGUGGAACAAAAGCAAAUACUGUCUUUUUUUAAUGCAGACAAAGCUUCCAAUUUGGAUAGCACAUCUUGAAAUGAUGUGUCUGGAGCAACUAUGGUUCAGAGAAGGAGACAUUUUCACAGAAGAUGAACAGCAAGUAAUACAGAAUGAAGGAGAGAUUUUCAUGAGAAAAUAUAAAGAUGAAGAUAAAUAAGAGUGGGCACCUGAGACUAAGGAUGAAGAAAGCAACCAGGACAACAAGAAAUAUCGACUAAGAUUUGAACCAACCCAUGAGGAAGAGGACGGAAGACCCAAGAAUCUUUUUAGCCCCUUUACACUUAUCCCUUUCCCCUACUCCCCCUUCCCCCACUCUAACUCUCCCAACCUUCCCUCACUCAGUUCCCCACCCCCUCUUACCCUUUUUACUUUUCACUAACUCUCACAUUCAUCUGUUUUUCUUUCUUCCUCCCCUCCCCUCUUUCUUUCUUCCCUUUUCCCUUUCUCCCCUUCUGCCUUCUUCUUAACCAAUAUCGGAGCAGGAACACACUGGGGUUGAAUUCUCGCUCUCAGUUUCAUGGAUCUCUCUUCCUGUUCUUGAUUGAGAUUUCAGUAUUUUCCUCUCAAUGCGUAGGAUAUCCUUCACGCAUUUCUCAAUCUCAAGGGUGUUUUUCACCAACUGUUCCAGCAUUUUUAUGUGAUCCCGGAUCCAUUCAUUUUUCACUUCUAAAGCGGCUGGUGUCUCGGUCAUGGCCUGACUGGGCUGGGAAAAAUGACAAAACAAGAUCAUUGUAUUAACUUAAGGAAAAAAGAAAUAGAGGUUGAUCAAAAUGGCCAUUUUGUUUUACUCUCCCUAUCUUUGUGUCUCUUAACAGAAGCGUGGUGUGUAGAUAGCAUAGAAAGCACAGACUAAAGUGACAUUUUCUCAAAGUGUCAGUCUGCUGUUAAAUACAGGGUGCUGUAACUUUUUUGUAAGGUUCUUCUUGCAGGUGUAGAGAACAAUGCAAAUACGUUUUCAUUAGAAAUAUGCAAAUAAAAUAAAAUAUGUGAGGCACUCAGAUGAGUGGACCAUACCGUUCAUUCUAUAAUGCAUACAUAUAAAUCUUACCUCAACGUUUUUCAUGUGUUCCCAUGAAAUGUAGAGGAUAGAUAUACCGAUAACUGUGACCAGUAGCACCGCACCACGAACAAACCACUUCUCUAAGGUCCUUAGUGAAAUGUCCAAGCCAAAAAUAAUACAGACAUCAGAUGGCUCUCUCUUCCACAGUUGUUCUCAUUCCUGGGAUGUCAAAUCCAAGCCAGUUGAGGCCCAGGCUGGUUUUUCAUAACUGAGAACGUUCUUCAGGAUAGCAUAUAUAUAUACCAAUCAUGGUGAUGAGUAGCAACACACCACAAAUAAACAUCUCUGUGGUCCUUUCUGGAAUGUCUAAGCCAAAAAUACUAGUACAGACAUUGGAAGGAUCCCUCUUCCAUUGCUGCUGUCGUUCCUGUGGUGGCAAAUCUAAAUGUGUUGCGGCCCAGGCUGAUGUGUCAUAACAAAGAACAUUCUCCAGGAAGACGGCAGACCCCAGAAGAAGCACAAAAGUGCAGCCUCCUAGAAACAUCCUGACUGUGAGGUUGUCAACCAGAAAUACUUCCGUUACAGAAGCUUCAAUAUGAGAACAUCAGGCAUGGAGAAAUUCUAUGAGGUCAUAAAGGUCUCCUGAUCUUUAUAAGAAGUGGUCUAUGAUGUCACGAAUACAUCAAGGGAGGAGCCCAAGAGAGAGAGAACAUUCUUGCACAUAUUUACAUAUUGUCCAAACAGUUGGGAAAGUAUGUUGAUAUCUUACAAAUCAUGUGGUUUUUUUUUAAAAGGCUUUCAUGAGAUACUGUAUAUUGUGCUUCUAUAGUAAAGGUAAAGGUUUUCCCCUGACAUUAAGUCUAGUGCCUGACGCUGGGGGUUGGUGCUCAUCUCCUUUUUCAAGAAACAGUUAAAGACACAUCUAUGCACCUUAGCAUAUGGAGAGGAGGAGGACUAACAUAACUGUCACCCCAUAGUAGCUAUGGUCUAAGUGAAACGCUUGUUCUGUGCAAUAAUGUUUUUAUUAAUUGUCAAAUUUAAAUGUAUUGUUUUUAAUGUGGAAUUUUUAUUAUAAUGUGUAUGUUAUUGUCAUUUAUACUUUUGAUAUUAAUGAAGAAAUUGUGGCAUUGAAUGUUUUCCGUUUAUAUGUAUGUUAACCGCCCUGAGUCCCUCUGGGGAGAGAGGGCGGUCUAGAAAUAAAGGUAUUAUUAUUAUUAUUA